AUUGAACGCUGGCGGCAUGCCUUACACAUGCAAGUCGAACGGCAGCACGGGUGCUUGCACCUGGUGGCGAGUGGCGAACGGGUGAGUAAUACAUCGGAACAUGUCCUGUAGUGGGGGAUAGCCCGGCGAAAGCCGGAUUAAUACCGCAUACGAUCUACGGAUGAAAGCGGGGGACCUUCGGUUCUCGCGCUAUAGGGUUGGCCGAUGGCUGAUUAGCUAGUUGGUGGGGUAAAGGCCUACCAAGGCGACGAUCAGUAGCUGGUCUGAGAGGGCGACCAGCCACACUGGGACUGGGCCACGGCCCAGACUCCUACGGGAGGCAGCAGUGGGGAAUUUUGGACAAUGGGCGGAAGCCUGAUCCAGCAAUGCCGCGUGUGUGAAGAAGGCCUUCGGGUUGUAAAGCACUUUUGUCCGGAAAGAAAUCCUUGGCCCUAAUACGGUCGGGGGAUGACGGUACCGGAAGAAUAAGCACCGGCUAACUACGUG
rnacentral:rRNA from 1 species